UCAAAUAAGGAUGCCCAAGGUCCUGACCUUAGGGAAUUCUGUUGACCCAAAGCACCUUUAAACUCAUCCUUUAGAACAUAGACCAGAGAGAGACAAGCCAUAUGGCUCUUCAGGUAGAGCUGUCAGAUUUAGCAACAGGGACAAAAAGGAUGCAAUUUUUUAGUAUGAGUAUACCCCUAUGUUGGAUUUGGGAUAUACUUACACUAUUUUGUGUGUGUGUGUGUGUGGGGGGUAUAUCUGGAAUUCAGAUUUACCUGGGGGUCCUGUGUCUUAUUUGGCAACACUAUCUUUAGGUGGUGGUUCUCACAUAUGGAAAAAGCUCAGAGAGAUGUUCUCACAGUGCAGAAAUCUUCCAUUUUCUUGGAACAGGAUUUGACCUGUAAUUGAGAACAAAAAAAAAAGGCCCCUGAAUCCCACUGAAGCGCUCUCAGAAUUCAGGCUGGACUGGAAGACUAGAGGGUGUCUGCAUAUCCCUGUCUGAAAAAGUGGCCUCUGCUCCCCAUUGGUGGUCCUAUUUGCACACCCACCCUGGAGAAUCUUUCCCUGGACCUGGCUGCAGAGAGGAAACGUGACUGCGGGCGGGCGAGUCUCUGCCCGGCUCUCUCUGGAAGGGGGAGACGUGGCUAUUUCAUAAACCCACACACAACAGGCACAUUUCCUGCUGGAGCUGGGGAGGCAGGGGGACUCUUCACUGCUCUUUUCCUCUGCCAUCAAUCUUUUUCCUCUUUCAAGGAGAGGCACCAUUACUCAUGGGCCGACAAACUGAACAGAGGGGAGGAGGGCCAGGGGCAGAAGAGGAGACCUGACUGGUAGGUGUUGGAUCCGACAAUCCAGGGGAGGAGGGAAUCCCAACAGGACCAGACAAAGCUGACCAGGAGCCAGAGAGUUUCAGGGGAUUAGAUAUGGGGGGAGGAGGGGAUGGGAAGUCACAGGUGCUUAUGCAGAUCCUUCAGGGCCAUUGGAACCUCUCCAUCUGUAUCUGUGUCGGAAGGAAGGACGGUGCUGUGGCCCCGGUUGGGGUUCAGGGCCACAGUUCAGUCUUGACCUGCCUGACUCACUUUCCCACGCACAUCCCUGUCUCUUCAUUUGUCAAAUGAGGGGCCAGAUCCAAAUGAUUUUUUUUUAAGAUUUUAUUGAUUUAUUCAUGAGAGACACAGAAAGAGAGGCAGAGACACAGACAGAGGGAGCAGCAGGCUCCCCGAGGGGACCCCGAUGUGGGACUCAAUCCCGGGACCCCAGGAUCAUGCCAUGAGCCGAAGGCAGACACUCAACCACUGAGCCACCCAGGCGUUCCUAUUGAUCCAAACGAUUCUUACAGUCCCUCGGAUUAUCUGCUUUUCCUUCCAUUCUCCACAUGCUACAAGCUUAGGGAAUUCUGCUGCUUACUUCCUUUCAUGAAAAUCUGAAGCCCUGAGAAACCCUAGGGAGCCCCUGAGCCCCAUGAUUUUCUUUGAAGGUGAUGCAAAGGGACACCACGUCCAACAAGACGUCUCCUCCGGGACAGUGUAACCUGAGGGAAGCAGGACAACAGCUAAAUUCCAGAGCCUCAUCAGACGGGCCCUCCAUGUCUUCGUAAAACUGAACUGACAAGCAUGACCUCCCCUUGGCGGUUCACCUUAUUGAAGCUGUCUGCUAGAUGCAGUAAGGCUCCGCUUCAAUACCAUGUCCUCCUCGCCGAAGGGCCCUGACUGAAGGAAGGCCGUGCUUAUGACGUGGGAAUGGUCAAUCCAGGGGGCUGAGGGGCUCUACGUGCGAGCCCCAGUACUGGGACCACAGUGCCUGUUCCACGGCUCUGGACAGGCCACUCCAAACUCAGUUGCCCCAGCCGGGAACUGGAUUAAAACUGUCCACGGCUUUUGCUCCAUGGAGCUACAGAUUCAAACAGGCUUCUCUCCCCAGAUUGAGAUGUCACAAGAAUCAUUUCAGUUCCUCAUGAAACCGUGGCAUGGAGCCAUCCCACACAAGGUCCCUGAAUCACAGGGGAGGCCUUGCUGGCUACAGUCAGGCACUGGGGUGCCAUGGGCCGGUUAUAUUCUUGGGCAGGAUCUGGAAGGCCCACACCUUUGUUCUGACCACUACCUCCUCUGUAGUGUUUUGCUCCUGGGAAUAGCCCUGACAUCUGUCCAAUGCAAAGGGUGUUACUGUGGUGCAGUGGCUCUCAGCCAUGACGUUGCAUCAUUAGAACUCCUUAAAAGAUCUAAACAAUAAUCUGAUGCUUGGUCUGCACUCUUGGGGAUUCUCGUAUAGUAGGUCUGGGGUGGCAACGGGGCAGCUGAUUAUUAGAACACGGUCGCCUGGCCUGGGAAUCAUUGUUCUAGACUCUAGAAUCUAGAGCAGUGAUUUCCAAACAUUUCCAUGCAUCAGAAUCCCCUGGAGGGCUUGUUAAAACACAGAUUGCUGGGCCCCACCCUAGAGUUUCUGGGAGUUCUGGGGUGGGACCCGUGGAUUUGCCUUUCUAGCAAGUUCCCAGGUGUUGCUGAGGCUGCUGGGGGCAAGACUGUGAGAACCACUAUUUUAGUACCCCAUCAGGUCGGACCAGGGAAGGGACUUGAACAGACAGAGAAACAUGGGCUUGAUUCAGGGUAUUUGAGUCCUGUGGGGAAACCACUGGCAAGUCUGUCUCUCCAGAUCUCGGUUUUGUUG